rnacentral:rRNA from 1 species
UACAGAGGUCUCAAGCGUUGUUCGGAUUCAUUGGGCGUAAAGGGUGCGUAGGUGGCGCGCUAAGUCGGGUGUGAAAUCUCGGAGCUUAACUCCGAAAUUGCAUUCGAUACUGGCGUGCUUGAGGACUGGAGAGGAGACUGGAAUUCAUGGUGUAGCAGUGAAAUGCGUAGAGAUCAUGAGGAAGACCAGUGGCGAAGGCGGGUCUCUGGACAGUUCCUGACACUGGAGGCACGAAGGCCAGGGGAGCAAAACGGG